rnacentral:ncRNA from 1 species
AGAGUUUGAUCCUGGCUCAGAGUGAACGUUUACGGUUAGCUUGACACAUGCAAAUUUUAUUAUUUUUGCUUUAUUUGUAAAAUAAAUAGUAAACGGGUGAGUAAAAUAUAGAAAUUAACCUUAAAAUAAUUGUUUGAUUCAUGAAAAAAUUAAAUUGGUUUAGGAGAAGUCUAUAAAAGAUUAGGUAGUUAAUAUUAUUCAAAAAUUUAUUAAGCCUAUGAUCUUUAGCUGGUCUUUGAGGAUGAACAGCCACAUUGGGAUUGAGAACGGCCCAAACUUUACUUAAAGGCAGCAGUGCGGAAUCUUGGGCAAUGAGCGAAAGCUUGACCCAGCUAAACCAUAUUUGUGAAGAAAGUGUAUAGCUUUAAAACAUUUUAAAUAAACAAAAUGAUGACUGUUUAUAUAUAAGUCCUGGCUAAUUUCGUGCCAGCAGCCGCGGUAAAACGAGGAGGGCAAACGUUACUCAAAUUAAUUGGGCGUAAAGGAUACGUAGGUGGAAGAUUAAAUUUCAAUUUAAAAUUAAUGUUUUAUUUAUUAAAUGGUUGUUAAACUAAUUUUCUAGAGUUUAGAAGAAGGUUAUAGAAUUUUGAAUGUAACAGUAAAAUGUUUUAAUAUUUGAAGGAAUCUCAAAAGCGAAAGCAGUUAUCUAUUUUAAAACUGACAUUGAGGUAUUAAAGUGUGGGUAGCAAAAGGGAUUAGAUACCCCUGUAGUCCACACCCUGAACUAUGAGUGCGAAUUUUUUAAUUGUUAAAAAUAUAGCUAACGCGUUUAGCACUUCGCCUGGGAACUACGAUCGCAAGGUUAAAACUCAAAGGAAUUGACGGGGACCUACACAAGCAGUGGAGCAUGUGGUUUAAAGCGAAAAUACGCGUGAAACCUUACCAAUUUUUGCAUAGUUGUUAAAUUAUAAUUACAGGUGUUGCAUGGUUGUCGUCAGUCCGUGCUGUGAGGCGUUUGGUUUAUUCCAACAAACGGACGAAACUUUUUUAAGUUUUUAUACUAACUUAAAUUAUUUUUUAAGGAUAUCUUAAAGGAAGUAAAACAACGUCAAGUCUUCAUGACCCUAAUAAAUUGGGCUACUUUCAUGUGCUACAAUAAUUUUUUCAAUACGAAGCGAAAUUGUAAGAUUUAGCAAAUCUUAAAAUAAAAUUAUGUGCAAAUUGCUUUCUGAAACUUGAAAGCAUGAAGUUGGAAUUGCUAGUAAUCGUAAAUAAGAACGUUACGGUGAAUUCGUUCUUAGGUCUUGUACACACCGCCCGUCACGCUAUGGAAAUUUAUUUUAUUUGAAAAUUAUAAUUAAUAUAAUUCACGGUAAAAAAAAGACUGGAGUGAAGUCGUAACAAGGUAGCCGUAGGGGAACCUGUGGCUGGAAAAUUUAAUAAUACGUCUACUAUC